rnacentral:rRNA from 1 species
GACAGAGGGUGCAAACGUUGUUCGGAAUCACUGGGCGUAAAGCGCGUGUAGGCGGCCCACUAAGUCUGAUGUGAAAGCCCGGGGCUCACCCCCGGAAGUGCAUUGGAAACUGGUGGACUCGAGUCCCGGAGAGGAGAGUGGAAUUCCUGGUGUAGCGGUGAAAUGCGUAGAUAUCAGGAGGAACACCGGUGGCGAAGGCGGCUCUCUGGACGGUGACUGACGCUGAGACGCGAAAGCGUGGGGAGCAAACAGG